rnacentral:rRNA from 1 species
UACAGAGGUCCCGAGCGUUGUUCGGAUUCAUUGGGCGUAAAGGGUGCGUAGGCGGCUUUCUAAGUCUGAUGUGAAAUCCUGGGGCUCAACCCUGGAACUGCAUUGGAUACUGGGAGGCUAGAGUACUGGAGAGGAAACUGGAAUUUACGGUGUAGCAGUGAAAUGCGUAGAGAUCGUAAGGAAGACCAGUGGCGAAGGCGAGUUUCUGGACAGUUACUGACGCUGAGGCGCGAAAGCGUGGGGAGCAAACAGG